UCGUAUCAAUGAUGUUGGCUUUUAAACUA
rnacentral:piRNA from 1 species